rnacentral:lncRNA from 1 species
CUGGCUGGUAUGGCUGUGCAGUUGGUGUCAGGACUUGGUUUCUUGGCAGAGUAACUAGUUGGAAGGUGCCUGGUCCUGGAGUUGGUGCAGCUUGCCCCACAGUCCUGGACCAUGGGUGCUUGUGUAAUCAUCUCAGAGAAGCUGUGGAUCUCCCUCUCAAAAGCCGCCGUUAUUUGGGUUAUAGGUCAGGUUAGAGACCCCAACUUGAGAUCCGGGACAUUCUUUCUGCUCUGUGAAGUCCUCCCAACCUGUCUCUCCAAAAUAUCUCCAAGGAAUGUGAUUCUGCCUCAGUGAAAGUGGUUCUGUGUCUCUGUAGGAGCAGACAAACCCUGGACAAGGCAAGCCCAGGAGCAGGAGCCUGUCUGCCCGAGAGCCAGCAAGGCCCCCUGACUUCAUCCUGGUGCUUUGUGAGUGUCUGCCGGCAAAUCCUGGGUGAUGGAGAGUGAUCCUGCUCCUUAUGGAGAGCAAAGACUCCAAAGCAGCACUGUCCAGGAGCAAGGUAAUGCAGAGCAUGUGUGUCAUUUCAAAUUCCCUACUAGCCACAUUAGGAAAAAAGAAGAAGAAGAAGAAGAAGAAGAAGAAGAAGAAGAAGAAGAAGAAGAAGAAGAAGAAGAAGCAGCAGCUAGUGAAAUUAAUUUUAGCCUUAGGUUUUAUUUAUAUCUACACAUCUGAAUAUUGCAAUUUUCCUUAGUAGUCAACAUAAAACUUAUAACUAAGAAUGUCUGACAUUCUUUCCCCCCGGCUGUCUUUGAAAUCUGGUAUUUUGCUCUUAGGGCACGUCUCAGUUUGAACCGUGUGCUUGCCGGUCACUGUGGUGAAUGGCUGCUGUCUUGGACAUGGCAUACACGGAGGGCCCAAGGCCCUGGAAGGGUGGGGAAGAUGAGGAUGGGCCUCAUGGGGGCUCAGCUGUGAGGCUGAGACAGGAAUCCUCCUUUGAAGCCAGGUUCACAGCACUCGCUGGGCACAGGGAUCUGUGAUUCGUGGGCUACGCUGUCUCUUGGUCACUGCUGAGCGACUUGGAUAUAGAAGGUGUGUUUGGGAAGAGCCGUGAAUAGAAACCAGGCUGUGGGUGCAUCUGUAGAGAUGCCCAAAGCCCACCCCCUGACCUGCCACCUCCACCUUAGUAUACAUAGGCUCCAUUUCUAAAGAGCAAGCCCCUCUCAACCUUUGCCCGGAGGUAUGGUGGCGUGGGGCGAAGAGGUAGGUCAGGAGCACCCAGGUCUGGCUUUUCACCUCUGCUGCCCGAGUGGCCCUGGCUAAGCCAUUUCAACUCUCUAUGCCUCAGUUUCCUCAGGAGGCCUCCAAGAGCAGCCUAGUGGGCACAGAACCAGCUCUUCAAAAGAGGCGAUUUGCAGCCUGGUGACGAUGAGGGGCUCAUGGACCAGCUCUGAUGACCUGGGUGCAGGGGGAAGGACACUGCAGGCUCCGUGGAGGCACCCAAGGGAGGACAUUAUUCCUGGACCAUUGCAGCAGCAGGGGUUUCCGUCCAAGGUACCUGGCCAGGAAAGGUUGGCCUUGGAGAAAGUGGCCUCAGAGCUUGAAGGAGGGAAGGGCGGCCACCACAGGGGCGGAGCAGAGGUGGUGUCAUCCAGAAGACAGCCGAGGAGGGGACCUUGCCUUUCCUCCUCUCAGGGAAGCCCCUGUGGUGCUCUGGAGUCUGCAGGGGGUUCUGAGUAAAUGGGGCACAAAACACUGCAGCAGCCCCCUCCCCCUCGCCCCCCAGGAGGGGGAAAGUCUCAGCCGUUACAUGGAUCCCUUGAGGGGAAGGGAAGCAAAGAAGGCCUGAAACCCCCUUCAGGCCUCAACUUUUUAUCUCAGGCUGAACUCUUCUUGGCCGUCGCUCGCCCAGGCAGCAGCUGUGGUCUCUACGUGACUGCAUGCAGUGAUCCAGCCAUGAGGCACUGGGGCUGCUCCUGCUGGGGCCCCUGUGGAGGAGGCUUGCUGGAGGCCAGCUGGGAGGGGAGUUUAGGAAGGAAACGGGUCUGAGUUCCAAAGCUUGAGGUUCCAGUCUCCAGAAUAUGAGAGCAUCCCUGGAGUAGCAGAAGCCCAGCUCGCUGUGUCGGUCCUGAAAAGUUGAGUGCUGGAACUGCCAGAUGGCUUCAGAAACUUGGGAUUCUGUACUUGGGAAGUGCCAACCUUUCUGGAGGUGGCUGUGCUUUGGGGUGAGCAGUUGAGGAAAUAAAAGAGGCCAGGGCCAACACCCUGCAGAAAACUGCUAGGCCAGCACUGCAAGAGGCUAGACAACCCCCAGGCCAAGUGCAUCCUUGCUGGGGAGAGAAUUUGCAGGGAGGAAGCGUGUCAUUAAUUGGACGGGGCUCCUUCUGUCUCCUACUUGUGGGGACAGCCAGAUGUUUUUCCACAUUGAAGGCUCGUCCACUAAAGACCCAGGCGAGCCUGCGUGUGUCCUGCUGUCUCUUAGUGGGGUAGUUUUCUUGGUGGCUCUGUGUAGAAUGGAAGUGGGGAGUUUCCUGGGGGUGGGCAUAUGGUGUACACACGUGCUCAGCAGUGUUUGUGGGAAGGGUGCACGGGGGAUGUCACGCCUGGCGAGGAGGAAGAGCCACUGGGUCACUCCUGUGUCCCUCUCUGACGCAUUCUUAGGUAGUCUCAUGAAGAGAACCGAAAGUCCAUCUUUCUUGCCAGAGUCUUGCUGCUCAAAUCCCUCAACUAAGGGAGAAAAAUCCAAUAAACUUGAAAAGCCUCCCCAUCCUGGAGUGUCGGGGAUUAGUGGUCAUGCUCGACUUCGAAUUAUCCAAGGUGCAGAUCCAGAGCUGAGCUGGCUGGGUGCAAGCAGGGUCCUUCUGCUUACUAGCUGUGAGGCCCCCAGCACUUCACCCCCUCCCCUUGCUGGACCUUAGUUUUCCUAUUUGGAAAAGGAGGUGCCGACACCCUGAACCUGCAGCUCCCUGGAUCAGGUGGAGCUUUGGACGUUGGUGGGUGUGUGGCCAGCGCUCCUCUGUGGGACCUGGGCUGAGGCUGUCCACACGAUGUUCUUUUUGUCUUCCAGGGGAGCUGGUACUGGACUGGCAUUCGAGGGCAGGAAUCCCCGGGGAGACUUGGAUUUGUUAUAGAAACCCACCCUUCAACUUGGCCAGCCCGUUUCAAAAUAGGGAGUUGACCCAAUAGCUUUGGUGAAUGCUCGUAGUUUAGACAGUGGGAGAGGCAGGAGAAGGCACUCCAGAGACAGCCUCCACAGAGGCUUCCGGGGCAGAGUCGGGGCAGAGUGGGGACAGGCGCCUUCCCUGGGGCCAGUGAUGACACAGUUAGAGAAUUUAAAGAUGAGAAAAACCAACCAGCCUCGGAGACUACUGUUUAUCAUCGCCAUGCAACAAGGGGUUAGUAUCUGUGAGAGGAUUUCCCUCUCCAUGAAAAAGAAUUUGUUCUAAGUUCUAAACAAUUGAUACAGUUACUGUUGAGCUGCUGAGUUUUAAGAAAAUAAAUGAGCUCUGUGGUGCCUUUUGAUUACUUACUUAUCCUUCAGGAGAAGUUGCAUUCUCUGUGGAAAACAGCUGGCCCCCAGUCCGUGCUUGCUCAGUGACAUGGCUCAUUUUGAGAGUAAAUUCAUAAUAGACUGGAACUUUCUCUCCUCACUUUAUAGAUAGUUCAUCUGUCCACCUUCUCAAUACAACAUAUUCUUUUUUUUUAAAGUGGGUGUAUCAAAAUUGAACGGAAUAUUAUGCAGUUAUCAACAAUAAGAAGUUGGAUCAGUGUAUGAUCUAAUAGAGGACAUAUCAUACAAUGUCCAACAUGCAGUGUUCAAGUAAGUAAGCAAGUUGCAGAACACUUAAAAUAUUUUAAAAGGUAGCAUUUACAUGUACUUACAUGUGUGUACACACAUGAAAUUUGUACAUGAGAAGAAUCUCUCAAAGGACAGAUAAACAAUUUUGCAGACUUAAAAGGAGAAUGAUAGCACAGAAAUGCAAAGACAAAGACCCAAACCACUUCAAUUCUCUCAUUCUGUCACUGCUUGGGGAUUUUGUUUAUGUUAAAAAUUUAACACAGUGAAACAGAGUAUGAAUCAGGAGUGCAGCAUUUUCGUCUGGUAAAUGCAAAUUUUGGUUCAUAUAUUAUUUUAUUGAUAUUUUUAAACACUGGCAUCUUUCUUUCUAAAUUGUUUAUUUGAAAGAUAAAGAACGUAUGUAGGGGGUGAUGACUAUUUCUGGUUAUCGAGUGGCUCCUAGGUGAGUCAUUUCUGCACAGGGGUGCGUGCCAUGGUCUGCUCCGGUGUCCAUACACUGCGCCGCUCACCUCUAAUCAAAAUUUGAAAAUGCUCUGGGGCAUUAUUAUCCCCACAAGAUUUGCCUGGAGGAAUGAUAUGACCAACACUGGCAAAUCCAUGGCAAAUCCAUUCUAGAAGGUUUUGAGUGAUUUCAGGAGCAUCCACUUUAUUCCUUCCACCAGGGACAUAUUGUUCUUUUUUCUCACCAUAGGAAACUCCCUAUUUCCUGACCCUGAAAUUCCUGGAAAAAACCUCUCUUAUUCUAGAGUUGAGAGACUGAAUAUGCCGAUGUGGUAGUGGCAGUUUCUUGGGAUGCAGGGGUCUCAGCUAAAGGAGCAAGGCACCCGCUGGGGAAAGUGUGGAGAGGGAGGACAGCGGCUCGCCCCCUCCUCCUAAGGACCCGUGCCCCUUGGGUCCUGGGGGCUGCUCCCACGCAGGCCUGCCUCCCUUUCCUGGUGAGUCUUGCGCCCUAAUCUACCAGGACGGCCUCUCCCCAAUGCUUCCUGGGGCUCUGUUAUUGGAGGGGUCUUCUGGCAGCAGAGCUCCCCCGCACAGCCUGGUGCAGGCACUUAGUGUGCUGAGUAGUCAGUGCACUGUGGCCCUGGCUGGGCAGGAGCCUGCGGCAGUCUGGGUCCAGAAUUGGCUCCUAGGGACAAAGACAAGACUGUAUCUGGCCAUUUGGGAGGAAUGGAUGUUUUAUAUGCGGACAAGAAGGUGGUUGGAACUCUCUCCUUUCCUGGUGACGAAGCUGUGUCGCCUCUUGGCUUUCUUGCUACAAAGGACUCGCAGCUGUUGUGGCGCUGUCCACGGGCCUUCUCUUGCACGGCAAGGCUCAGUGGCCUCAGCGUGUCUAGGAGGCCUAGGAAGACUGGCCUGUUUCCAGAGACACAUGCUUUUGCUGGGGGUGGGGGUGGCAGUUUGCAGCAGUUGGCAGAUGUGACCCUGGUGACAUCCAAGCUAGUAAGGUCUGCUGGGGGUCAUGGCUGUUGGUGAAACUGUCCAGGCCUCUUCUGCUGGGGCUUUGCGUCCUCUUCCCAAGUGUGAGAAGGCAGUCCCAGCAGGAAGUGUGGGGUUGACCAGGGACUUUAACAAAUGUUGACGGAUGGCUUUUGUGUCAUUGCAUGGGGCAUGCAGGCCAGUGAGGAAAGUCCCUGCCAGGCCCCAAGACCCUGUGAAUAAAAGCUGAAGGUGCUUCGAAGUUUCUAAAGUUGGUUAUUUGAAGAAAAAUGUGCAGCAGGGUCUUCUGUGUUUGUAGGGUGAGAGGAUCGAUUCUUUCUACACCACAGAGCCUGCCUGUAGCACCUGCCUCUAAAGUUUGCACACGGGAACAUGAAUCAAGCCUACAAGCAGUUAAAUAAAAUAUGCUCUGUUCUCAUAUUUUACAAAUCUAGGGGUUGGGGCUGGGGUUCAGUGACAGAGAACUUGCCUAGGAUGUGUGAGGUGCUGGGUUUGAUCCUCAGCACCACAUAAAAAUAAACAAACAAAAUAAAGCUAAAAAAAUAUCUAUAGUCACAUAUUUUUUUCAUAUAUUUCAAGACAAAACUGAAAAAUGUGUAAAGCUGUAGUUUUUUACAUGACCCAAAGCGGGCAGAUAUCAAAGAUGACUGAAUUAAUUAUUAAAUGUCCUUUUGUUCUAUUUGAAUGAUGAACAAGAUAAAGAUACACAUAAUUUAUAAUUACUCUAUAGUUCUCUAAAUUAAUUUUUUGCCUUCAUUUCAUCACAACCACAAAUCCUGUCAUUAAAAAUGAACAUUUUCACAUAAUUUUGUUCUAUUUAUAACAAUGAGCUAAGGGAUUUUUUUAAAAAAAUGUUAAUGUAUUUGAAAUAUGCACAAUUUAAAUAUAUUUUUAUCACAAAUGUGAAAGUAUAUGUAAAAACAUAAAAAAUGUAUUUUCUCAUAUAUAUUUUCAAAGAGAGUUAUUUUUUUCUUAUAAAACAUUAAAACUGGAAAGGCAAAAGUACAAAUUAGCAUUAAUAAAUGUCAAAAAGGUAGAUGAAAAUUAUUUAAAUAAAACUGGAUUUUAAAUGUUAAUUUAUGAAAAGUAAAUGAGAUCUUAUUAAAUAUCCUUGUAAAUAAUACCUCCCAAUUCUAGCAUUCGGUUCCCACCCAGCCACUGACAUAAAUUGGCAUCGCCCAAUGUCUUGCCCUUGGACCUACAUGGCUACCAGUUCAGAAAUCAUGGGAACCGUGGAAGUCUGCUCCACACUCCUCAUGGCCACGCCACCUGUGAUUGUCACGACGCCGUGUGACUUCCCGCAUCUCCAGGAGCAGUUAGAGCAGCAGCUCUCCUGGAUGGUUGAGUUAUGCAAGUGUCACUUGCUCCUCCUUCCUGCCACCCAGUGAGAAGGCCAAGGGCUCCUGUCUUUCCUCCUCCCUGUGUUGGGUUAGCUGCUCAAGUCCCCUCCCCUCCUGGGCCACCGUCCCGGGGGACAUCAACAGUCCUAGUAUGACCUGCAGAACUCUGGGGCACUUGGAGGCAGUGAGGCUUUCUUUUUCAUUCCAAGACCAGGCACAAAAUGUGGAGAUGGAUGGGAGACGCGUUUCCUGGGGCCUGAGUGGCCAUGGUUAUGGGGGUGGAUGUUUAGGGUUAAGAAUGCCCAGAGCCCUGGACCCCAGGCGACAGAGGGGCCGUGUGAAGUGGUCUGAACCUCGGGACUCAGGUCAGGUGUCCCUUGGCAGAGUCUUCUGGGCGUACUGACCACUCAUCCCGGGUACUGGGGUGACUCUUCUUGCCUUCUGGUGUGACUUACCUGGCUCUGCAGGGCUCGGUUUCUGGAUCAGCCAUCCUCUAUGGAAGAAGGAAAUUUCUGAGAGUCCCAGCUGCCCGGGGGCUCGUUCCAGCCCUGGCCAGUCUUGGGGUGGUGCAGCAUUGGAGCUGAAGCAAAGGUUGUGUGGACCUUGCUCUUCUAGUAGGGUCCUUCUCCUGAAGAUGUGGGAAGUCACAUGGCGUCGCAGCAAUCACAGGUGGCCGUGAGGAGUGUGGAGUGGCUUCCCAUGGUUUCUAUGAUUUCUGAACUGGUAGCCGAGUAGGUCCAAGGGCAAGACGUUGGGCGAUGCCAAUUUAUUCUAAUGCUAGAAUCGGGAGGUAUUGUUUACAAGGAUAUUUAUUAAAAUCUCAUUUACUUUUCAUAAAUUUAUAUUUAAAAUCCAGUUUUAUUUAAAUAAUUUUCAUUUACACUUUUGACAUUUAUUAAUUUCAAUCAAUGGCCAGUCUCGGAGUGGUUGCAGCACUGGACCUGAACAAAGGUUGUGUGGUCACCUGGGAGAAGUGGGUGCUCUGUGGUGGCAGGAGCUAUGGGGUGGGCCUUAUGUGUCUGUGCACUCCUCUCAGAGGCUGCUGCCCAGGUACUGUCUCAAAGCUGGACUUGAUCCUUGGUGGGUCUGAGCCUCAUCUGGCCCUCACUCCUGUGUCCCUGACUUCUCUUCCUAUUUCUGUGUCUUUCCCUCAGAUCCUGAGCUCCAUCAUGGUCUACUGCCUGGCAACUUCAACCGUAUCCCUGAUUCUCUCCUUGCUGGCCAGCUUUGCCCCAGUGGCUCCCCUCCUGCAAAUAGGGCAAAAGGCAUGGAGAUGAGACCAGAGUGUCCGGCUCUGGGGGUUUGAUGGACCGAGACAGACAAGUGAGCGUACAAGCAAACAUUUUGAAAACGAGCGCAUGAGUCAAUGGUCAGGACUGGUGCACGUUGAUUGGGGUGGAUGUAACUGAAGGGUCACUAGUAGGAUUUCCACAGCCAGCUGGCUCAGGGCCUCUCUGGUCACCCUGGGAAAGCCUUACUUUUUGAAAGGUUCCAGUCCUCUCUCAGUGAAAACACACGGGUGUGACAACACCCAUGGUUCCCUGACCUCCACAGACUGAGGUCUGAGCCCAUUGAAAUCAGGUGUCUGAAGUCACGCAGAAUGGCUUUCAGUGGUGCUGUGAGCCGACCGUUUCAGGGUACUCCUUCCUCCGAUUUCACAGAUGUGUCGGUUGGAUUUUAUUCUUAAGUGGCCUAAGCCAAAAGCAUCUUCUCCCAGAAACAGCAGGUUCAUUUCAAUUCAAUAUUUCACUUUGGACAACUGCUUGCCUUCAUUUAGCGCCGCAUGCUGGGACUUGGUCUCCCCGGGCGUUCUGGCUUCCCUCCCGUUAGCGACGGUGGCAGCAGUGCAGACAGAUUGAGGCCCCAGGAAGGCGGACCCCCCAACUGCGCGGCAGCAGUGAGCUGGGAGCAGAGGCUGUGCACGCUAAUGGUUGUGAGUGCUGCUUUUCCAGCCAUGAGCUGUCUAUAUCGCAUUUGCGUGGAGACACAAAACAUCUAACUAUCAGACGAAGCCAGACGCAACACCCAGCACAGAGAGGACAGCGUCUUCUCCAGCUGUGUCUGGUGCCCGGGGUCACCGAGGGGAAAAAUGACAAUGCCUUGUGUGCUGGGUGGUGGGUGGCUACAGGAUUUAGAGAAGUCUCUCUCACUACCCCAGGCAAAAAACCUUCGUUGUCCUCUGCCUGGGUAGAUUACUCCUGCAGACACUGGUCUGAGUCUAGGCUGAGCCCAGUCUGCCCUGCAGGGCUUCUCUGGUACUGGGGGUUGCAAAUGUGGAAUUCUGGGGGCAGCUCUCCAGGCCCAUGUGGAAAGAAGUGCUGAGACAGAACACAGAGGGCCCUGGAGGCCCGGGGCUGCAGCGCAGGGCUGGCCUCCGGCUUUUGUAGGUGAGGAGGGCCAUCCUCCUGCAGCACAGGUGUGCAGUGGUCUUGGGGCCGGGCAGGUGGGCUUGUUUGCUCUGCUGCUUCCUGUGGACAGUGUCCAUGGCUCUGGGAGGCUCUCUGCCAUCACAGGUCAGGUUGAGCGGCUUCCAGCUCAGGGUAUCUGGGUGUACGUGCCUCCUGAAAAGCCUUCUCUCCCUGGACUGGGAGCAGCUUCUUCUGCCCAGCAAAGGAAGUAGGUGAGAGGGAGGAAGACCCCUAUGUGUGGCUGGUGGCAGUGGCUCAGAGCCACAUGGGGCAGGGGAGACCCUGCUCUUACUGAUCUCCUCCUUGGAGGGAAGGUAUUAGGGCAUCAAGAACAUUCUUGCUGCUCAGACAGAGUCCUCUGGAGAAGGCGGCCCAGGUGGGUUAGGGUUAGGCACUUCUGUACUCUGGAGAUGGGAGCCUCGUCUGUGAUAGUUCUGACUAGGCUGCCUGUCACAUCUGCACAAUGGGAAGCUGGGCCAGAGGGUUUUACGGUCCACACUGAACUUGAGGUUCUGGGAGGGCAGUCAGAGUUUAGUUACAAUCUUUGUUUUCCAGGAGACCCAAGUUCAAGUCCCAUUCCCCAGUUUCUUGUUGCUGUGCAGCCUAGGACAAGCCACUCCCCUCUCUGUACUGUCCUCCCAGCACAGGUGGUUGGUAUGAGGAGCAGUCUGGCUCACAGGGCUUGUCCUGGACAGUGGUUUCUUUCCCUACAUCUCCUUUGAGUUGGCAGAGGCCCACAGACAACCAACCCCAUCUCCGGAGCAUAGACCUUGUCUACCGCAUAGCCAAGUUUCCCAUGCACUCCAGAUUUGAGGACGGCCAGCUGCCGUGUAAUUCAAAUGAGAGCCCUGUUGCCCUUUGAGGACAAGCCUCAUGUAAGGUCCACCUGUCACCUGAGUCUCUGUGGCCCAGCUCAGUGCAUGGCCUCUGCUAGUGCUGAGACACCAGAUGCCUAUAGCCUCAUGUCUGCCCUGCAAGGGGUGCUAGCCUAUCCAGGGGCCACGGGGCUGGGUUUUCGACCAGCUCAUGUGGUGCUGGCUUGUCUGCAUGUGUCAGUGCUGAAGCCCUGUGAAGAACCCUCUCCUGCCCCUUCGAUGCCUGCCCCAGUCUCCAGAUAAGAUGGGAAGGGAAGUGGAUGAGGGACUCCAUUCAGCCUGACCUCAGUUAACAUUUCAGCUCUGCCAGGCAUCAGCUGUGCAUCACAAGAGAGGUCACUGAGCUCCUGAGUCCCAGCUUCUGGUCUGUAAAAGCGGGUGCUGAUUCCCUUGGCAGGAGGGGUGUGAACAGCAAAGGCUGCCAAGUCUCUGCACAUGGGAGGCAUCGGCAGAAACAUUUCUGUUGUUCAGAGCAAGGUACUUGUGCCCUGGACCAGCGUCAUCAGCAUCACCUGGGAACUUGUGAGCAAGGGAAUUGUCAGACCCUCUCCCCAUGUGCUGAGUUGGAACCAAAGAGAUGGGGUGACGCCAUGGAUCUGACUGUUCACAGCCCUGCAAGUUCUACAGCAUGGUAAGGCCAGAGACCUCGGACUUGGAGAUAUGUUGCAAACUUCUUCUUCCAUGGUAUUUCCUUGCCUGGUUCUGCUUCCUUCCUCCGAAUGGGACUUGGGAGAGUCUCCGAACUUGGGAGGGCAGUGAGUCUGGGCUGGAUCUGUCAGCUGGGCUUGGAUAAUGUUUGCUGGAUUGGAGGCAAGAGAAAGGGCAGUAGGACCCUUGGGUCCUGUCCUCCUCUGGGUGCAGACAAGGGCCUCUUAUCUGUGCCUGUCUGGGAGGGCUGCCCCUCCUCAUUCCCUGGACAGGAGUGUGCGGCUCCUGUGCAGUCUGUCUCCCCCUGCUGCCUGUCACCUGGGCACACUAAGGAGACACGAUUGUGGAGGCAUGCAGUGGGUGCUUGAACCCUUUGUGGGACAUGAGAGGAUGGGCACUCUGUAGAGUACUACAGAGCACUUCUGGGAGAAGCACAAGGGGACAGAGAGUGGUGAUUCAGAUGCAGGCCCAGCCUGGGGGCACUUGAGCUGUAGCCAUCCCAGGUGUCCAUCAAUUCCACAUGUGGGCAGCAAGCCAGGUGCUUUGAAUGCAGAGUUAAUAAUUAGGUAAAAUCAAACGGUCUAUUCUUGAAUACGAAACAGAGCAGCAUAAUGAACUUGUAAAACCUUUUAGAUUCUUUUCAGCAUGGUGACAAGUUUUUUUAAGUUGUUUUGAAGCUUCUUUUCUCGUGUGGUUUUUAUUAUGGUAAAAUAUACAUAACAUAAAAUUUACCCUUUUAACUAUUUUUACGUACAUAGGUCUGGGACAUUAAGCACACUCAUGUAGUUCUGCAAACGUCACCACCAUCCGUCUCCGGAACUUUUCCAUCUUCCCAAAAUGAAAUUCGGUCCCCAUUAAACACUAGCUCCUGUCCUUCCCUCUCCUUGGCCCCUGACGGCCACUUAUUCCAUUAAAGCCCUGACUGAGAUAAAAGGAGGUGGUGGGAGGUUCUAAGAAACCCCUCCUUCAAGAGUAUACUUAAGAACCCAGUUUUCUUGAGGCAGGACCUCUGCUUGACCUCCAGACGUGAGCACAGCACAGAGGUAUAGACGUAGGCGGGAACGUUGGGCCCCUUUGGAAUAGUUGCACAUGCUUUAUUUUGCCCUUGAUGAAAAGAGCCGUGUUAAGUUUAUAAAAGAGCACUUGCAGAAGAAGAAAGCCUUGGACCCAGCCAUGGCCUUCCUGAGUUGUUGACAGCUGUUAUUCACUGAAAACCUCCCUGGAAACAAAGAGAUAUUGCAGCAUUGUUCAGCGUGGGUGUUUGAAGUGGCCUCCUUCCAGAGCUCUGCUGAUGGAGGGGCCGGGUCUGGGCCAGGGCCUCGUGCCUCCUGCUUUCUUCCUAUAGCUGCUGCAGCUUCGAAGGAGCCUGGGAGUGUCCUGAAGCAGUCCAACUUGCAGGCAGUCCUUUCUUCCACGUGCCUGUGACUUCCUGAUGCUCUACUACUCCCUUCACAGGGCUGUGCUGCUUUGGCAGAGAAGCAAAGAUGACAGGCACCUUCAGGACCCCUGCUUGUCGAUGUCCCUGGGAUAUCACCUGAGUGCUAGGGUAGGAAGAAUCUGGGGCACUUAAGAAAAACUGAAAGUGGCCAUUUUUUUCCCCAGGAAGGGAGGUACCCACGUCCACAUCCUGCAUCUUCCUCUUUGUGAAAUCCAUGCUGCGGGCCGGCCCUGGAUGCUGUCUGCAGGCCUGUCCCCGCUGGGUGCUGACAGCGUGGGCCCCUGUGCCUUGCUGAGUCAUCUCGGGCUCACUUUUCCCACCAGUGCAACGGGGUUAAUGACGCCUGCCCCGGCUGGGGACUCAAACGAGAAAACCUAGGUGAAAGUGACUUGAAACUCAGAAAGUGCCUUCCACGUGGCCUGUGGUGGCCUUGUGGCGGGCAUCCCUCUGGGGGAGACCUGCGGAGCGGGUUUGGCAGGGCCUCCGGAUGGGGUCUCUGGGGGGGGGAGCCCCUCCAUCCCCCGGCUCACUCACCUCCAUCCCCCCCCACUCACCUCCCACGGGUAUGAUCAUUUCCUACGUGGGCCCUGACAAUGGAGGGGAAGCCCUUUGGAGAGGUCCGUCCGGGUAAGAGCAGGUGAGGCAGGUCCUGGACAGGGCUCCCAACUCACCCUGUGCUGUCACUGGCUUGGUGACACUUCCUCUGGGAGUUCUCCCAGGGGCAGACCACCUGUGCUGGGAGUGCUGGUUGAGCUGUCUCCCUGUAGACAUCUACCUUUAGCCCAGGUCCUGGAACAUGGGAGGUCUUCAACUAGCAGUGAGCACCCUAACAAAUAUCAUCAUGGAACAUCAGUCAUCGUACCUAUUUAUAAUUAUUUACUUCUUUAAGAUUAGUUGAAGAAUAAGUUUUGGGGAGGAAAAAAAAACAUGCCGCAAAAGUAGCAUCAUCAACAGUCUGGUUUCUCAACGUGCCACUGGUAGCUGGGUGGGCCCAGAGCCUGGUAGAAACACUGGUUCAGACCUGAUCCAGACUGGCUGAGUCAGCAUUUACUUUUCGGGUGUCUUCAGGGCCCUUGCAGAUGAGGGAGAGAAGCUCGUGCAGGAUCACCUUCCCAGACCUGGGAGCAGCGGAGCUUGUGGAUUCUCACCUCUGGGGAGACUCCCAGCCACAAAGCCAGGGAUUUCCCAGCUCUGGUGGGGGGGUGCUGCCAAAAGGGGACACACAUGCUCACGGCUCUGGGGGUGGCUAGGGACCCCUCCUUCACUCCUGCAGCGUGUAGGCCAGUGGCCUAGGAGGAGUGAGAACAACCCGCUGCCUUGGCUUUCUCUGGCCCCCUUGUCCUCGAGGGACCCUGGCUGACUAACACCUUUGCCCUGCCCAGGCGGAGAUUUUGGUGCCCCAUACAGGGAGAUGUGCUAAGAGGUGACUUUGGCCUCAAUUAGUCCCAGGCUCCAGAUAAGAGGAUUCCAGAUCCUUACCCAUGCAGGCGACUGCAGCCCUCCUAGUCUCCCUUAGACGUACCUGCCUUCUCUCCUGCUCCUGGGAACAGCCCUUGCACUCCAGUCUUGGGUGGAUUGUGAUUCUGCACUAUUAUUUUACCAUGAGCUGAGGUCGGGAGAAGACUACUAUUCCAAGUCUGGGCCCAGCUAGCCAUUUAUUCCAUCAGUCCUUUUUGAGCACCUACUGUGUGCCAGGUGCUCAGCUGGGCACUGAAGACACAGCAGUCACCACCCUGGCCCUCAUUCUCCAGGAAGACACUGGCAAAUGAUGGUUAAGAAGCCAAAAUCAGCAUUUUGCUCAUCAGCUGCGUGACCUCUGGAACCUCUCAGGGUCUCGAUUUCUUCAGAUUUAAAAUGGCAAUGGACAGGUGGUUUCCCUGAGAGGGUUUCUGUGAGGAGGAAGUGCGUUAAUGCACAGUGCCUGGCGAUACUUAUGCAGACAGGAAGGGGGCUGCUCAGGGACCAAGUGCUAAGUGUGAGCAACCCUCUGGGUCUCCUGCUAUAUUCUAAAACCCAUUUGAAUGCUGGCAGACUGUCCUUCAGCUGUCCUUUGGCACUCAGGGCCUGAGACCCCAGCUUCCCAUCUGCUCAGAGGGGAAUUUAGUCUCCUCCUCAGGUGGGAGUGAAGACUGACCGAGCCAUGUAGACAGGUGUGUGGUGGUGCUCAGAUCAGGGGUCCUGUCCUCCUCAGCUCUUGGGGAGGAUCUCCAUGUCUGAACUGGUUUCUCUAAUCCUUGAUUUAUUGCCGUGACGGUGUUUGUUCUUUGUGAGUCCUUCUGCUUCAGCUUUGUGAUGAAUAAAUCCUUGAUCACAGUCAAUUCCUCAAACAGAGCGACCUUGGGGCUGAAUUCUUUGAACCUGUGUUUGGUUAUGUCACCAAACUGAACAAUGGGGUUUACAGCUGUCCUUCUCUGGACAAGGACAUUUGACCAACUGUUUUUGCAGCAGGAUUUGAGGAGGGUGAGGAGCAUGUGAUUCCAUGUUUAAAUAAGCCUAUCUACACAAGGGGAGGAAGGGAGCCCUCUACAUAGAGGGCAGUGGCACCCACCAUCCCCAGGAGACCCAAGGAGAGACCCUGCCUGGGCAGAGGCCCAGAUGCCACUGGCUAUCCUGUGAGCAGGAGGCUGCUCUGGAGCCUUGGACUGCAAGGUUCCCGGGGUCCUUAAGUCAUGCCACAUGGUACCCUUCUGAGGCUCAAAUCCCCCUCGAGUCCACUCAGCUGCCGCAGAGGCUGUGUCUGGAUGCUUCUGAGGGCAAAGCUGUGGCCUGACCGUGUCCCUCCAGAAGUUCACAUGUUGGAAACGAAUCCCACGUUCACAUGAGAGGACAUUUGGAGCUGGGGCCUUUGUGGGUAAGGGAACCCCACCAUGGCACUGCUGGAUUUGCCAGAAGAGGAGAGGGCCCAGGCUGGAUCGCUUGCCCUGUCCCCCAAUGAGAGGGGCAAGGAGGUCCCCUAGAUUCCAGCCCCUCACCCAGGGCUUCCACCCCCCAAAGCCGUGAGAAAUGUUUCUUCUCUUCAGAAACUACCCAGUCGGUGGGAUUCCACUGAGCCGCAAAGAGUACGCGAGACAGACACACAGCCUCCUGCCACAGCUGGGGUUGAUCUACUCUUGAUUUUUUUUCCCAUGGAUUUUUUUCAAGG